AAGCCGCGAAUGGCUCGGUAUAUCAGCUAUGGUUUAUUAGAUCGUAGUUUUUACUUGGAUAACUGUGGUAAUUCUAGAGCUAAUACAUGCGAAAAAGCUCGGACCUCACGGAAAGGGCGCAUUUAUUAGAUCAAAACCAAUGUGGUGCUUAAUUGUGCCACUUGUUUUGGUGACUCUGAAUAACUCAGUUGAUCGCACAGUCUUGAACUGGCGACGUAUCUUUCAAAUGUCUGCCUUAUCAACUUUCGAUGGUAGGUUAUAUGCCUACCAUGGUUAUAACGGGUAACGGAGAAUAAGGGUUCGACUCCGGAGAGGGAGCCUGAGAAAUGGCUACCACAUCCAAGGAAGGCAGCAGGCGCGCAAAUUACCCAAUGCCAGUACGGCGAGGUAGUGACGAAAAAUAACGAGAUAGUCCAUUUUAUGGCCUGUCAUCGGAAUGGGUACAAUUUAAAUCCUUUAACGAGGAUCUAUUAGAGGGCAAGUCUGGUGCCAGCAGCCGCGGUAAUUCCAGCUCUAAUAGCGUAUACUAAAGUUGUUGUGGUUAAAACGCCCGUAGUUGAUUUUUCGACGUUGAAGUGCGGUAGCCCUUCGUGGGUUUAACUGUUGCUUUGCGUCUAAUUUCGAGUUUUCUGUCGAUGCUCUUAAUCGGGUGUCGGCAGUGACUUGAACGUUUACUUUGAAAAAAUUAGAGUGCUUAAAGCAAGCUUAUAUGCUUGAAUAAAGUGCAUGGGAUAAUGGAAUAGGACUUUGGUCUUAUUUUGUUGGUUUUGAAGACUGAAGUAAUGAUUAAGAGGAACAGACGGGGACAUUCGUAUUGUUGCGUUAGAGGUGAAAU
rnacentral:rRNA from 1 species